CACUCCUGCGGGAGGCAGCAGUGGGGAAUUUUGGACAAUGGGCGAAAGCCUGAUCCAGCAAUGCCGCGUGUGUGAAGAAGGCCUUCGGGUUGUAAAGCACUUUUGUCCGGAAAGAAAUCCUUGGCUCUAAUACAGUCGGGGGAUGACGGUACCGGAAGAAUAAGCACCGGCUAACUACGUGCCAGCAGCCGCGGUAAUACGUAGGGUGCGAGCGUUAAUCGGAAUUACUGGGCGUAAAGCGUGCGCAGGCGGUUUGCUAAGACCGAUGUGAAAUCCCCGGGCUCAACCUGGGAACUGCAUUGGUGACUGGCAGGCUAGAGUAUGGCAGAGGGGGGUAGAAUUCCACGUGUAGCAGUGAAAUGCGUAGAGAUGUGGAGGAAUACCGAUGGCGAAGGCAGCCCCCUGGGCCAAUACUGACGCUCAUGCACGAAAGCGUGGGGAGCAAACAGGAUUAGAAACCCCUGUAGUCCCA
rnacentral:rRNA from 1 species